rnacentral:lncRNA from 1 species
GGUCUCCAACAAAGGUGAGUUGAAGAUUACAAAUUAUUUUCCCUGCCUUUCUAUUUCUGCUUAUAUGUCGACACAUAGGUAGUAAAAAGGCUCUCCCUCUCUAUUCCAGGGGUCCCCCACCAAUAACGUGUCCCCGACCUCCACCCCCGCCAAAUCUGCAGCCGCCGUGCCCACCCUAGUGCCGCCCCCCGAAGAAGCCACUGAGUGAGUGACUACUUCCUCUGCCUACCACAGUUUACCUCGUCACCUCAGGGAUUUCCUCAGUUCUGGCAUUCAAGCAUUCUAUGUGUUCCAUUUAUUUGGUAAAACUGUGAAUAAGAGUCCAUUCUUCCUUCCCCUUCCAUUCUCUCUCUAUCCCUUUAUCUCGCUCUAGUUCUCUGUUGGAUCUGGACCCUCUGUCCUCCUCUGGUCCGUCAGCAGGAGCCUCAGCAGCCCCUAUGUCCUGGGGAGACCUCCUUGGAUCAGAAAUGGGCGAGUCCAUGCUUCCUGACCCCACCCUCGCUGUAGACACCGCUCCCUCUCCCGCGGGGGUAACGCCCACCCCUGUAGCCGCAGAGCCAGGAGUCACUCUGGCUCCUCCCCCUAGUGCGGCCGCCACCAACCCCCCCGGUGCGACGAAUAUGGAUCUGCUGGGAGGUCAGUGGGCUUCUGGAGGAUUCCCAACCACAGAAUCUCUGCUGGACAGCUCAACCCCAACCAACCCUCCACAUGCACACACAGGAGAUGUAGUGUUCUCUACCUGCAUGUACACACACUAACGCACAUGUUUAGUCUCUGCAUGUACGUACACACAGUGACCCAGAUACCCCAAAACAAACACAUCCAUUUGGGAAGAACAUGUCAUACAUACUGGUAUGCAUUUAUUUUUUAACAUCUUAUGCUGUAUUCUAACUGACUUAUAUGACACAGAUCUACACACAGAGACAAGCAUGCUCACACUUGUAGACCCACUCAGACAUGCUACCCAUACAUUUUCACAUGCUUCAUUUUGUUUGAUAGUCCGACAGCUUUUUCUUAACUUCAGAGAAAAGCCAAACUAUCAAACAGAGUCAUGUUCUUUAUUGCCGCCUAAAAGACACAUUGCUUUGCUUCUGGUUCCAUUCUGUGGCCUGCUUGUCCGGUUAUGUAGUGCAACAGACCUAGUUACCGCUUUCUAGUUUAGUUGUAGCUAAAGCCCGCCUUCCAUAGCCUUCCAUAGCCUUCCAUAGGCCUUGCUGUGCCUCCGGUCUGUAUUCUCAUUUGUCCUUCACCGGUCAAUCAUUCAUGCCACAAAGUAAAUGUUUUGUAACUAAUCUAAACUGAAUUUAUUACAGUAAUCAAAAGAUGGCUCAGUUGAAUAGUAUCUCUCUGCAAUAUAUCUCUCUGCAAUAAAAUACGUAUAUUACAUAUCUUAUGCCUGACAUUACAUUACAAGUAUUUAAUAUAGUUACAGUAUAUUAAGUCAAUUAAAUACCUAACAAAGUGAAAGUAGUAUUUCUAAACUCUGCUUAGAGGCACAGACCAUCUUUUAGGUGGCUUCUUCCUUUUCUGACUUACUCUCUUUAUUGUCUGGCUUGUUUCUUUUCUCCGUCCUUUUCUCUCCGUGCCUCUCUCUCUGUCGUCUGUGUGUGUGUUGGGUAUCAGAUGCGUUUUCGACCCCUGCUCCCGCCUCUGAUGCCGCUGCCGAGGGCGGGGCUCCGGCCCCCACGCCAACCCCAGCUGCCGACGCUGCAGCCGGUGGGUUGCAGGACGAGUGUCUCUGUCGAUGUAAAUGGCUGUGUGUAUAGUUUUGUGGCUGUGUGUGUGUUUGGCUGUAUUCGAGUGCUCGGUGCAUCCGUGCUUAUGUGUUUUUGUGUAUGGAGAGUGUGUUUCAACAGUUGAUCCCAUUGCUGUGAGCGGGUGUAGCUAGUUUCCCUAGAAAGGUGGUGCUGCUGUUUGUUUCUGGGCAUUGUUGUUGCAGUUACUAUGGAGAUUGUUGCUGAGGUUGAUUUUAGGACAGUGGUUGACCACCAUGCUUAGAUACCCCCUGGGGUUUCCUUUCACGCUGUAAAUCUCAAAAUACAUCUGCAAGCUCUGUGGUUACACUCUGUAAAUCUGGUCUAGUAUGGGUAUUUCAGAGAGUAUUAUGAGAGAGUGUGAAUACUACUAAUACUGCUUUCUCCAAUAUGUUUCCCUCUUUUCACAAAUCGUGUUCUUUUCUUAUCAUUUUUCAUCAGACAUGCUUAUUUUCCAGAUUCUCUUGAUCAUACGGUACUUCAUAGUGUUUUACAUGUACUGUAUGUUUAUGAAGAAUAUGGAGCUGUGAAUUCCCUAACUAAGCCUGUAUCUUCAGAAUUUCAGCCGAAUGCACCUAUUCCUCCUCCCUAUUUCACAGAAUACAGCUCUUGCCAUACCUCUAGGUUUAUUUCACACUGUGUUAUGGUGGUUGUGUAAUAUCUCCAUCCCCCUUGUCAUCCCCUCCCUGGUUCUUUCCUCCCAAAGACCCCUUUGCCCCCACUGGUAGCAGCUCAAAUGCAGUAGGCC